rnacentral:rRNA from 1 species
ACUUCUACCACAUCUAUUGACAUUAUGGGUCUGCAAGCUGCUUAUGCUAAUUUGCAUACUGACCAAGAACGUGAUUACUUCAUGCAGCGUUACCAUGAUGUUAUUUCUUCAUUUGGAGGUAAAACCUCUUAUGACGCUGACAACCGUCCUUUACUUGUCAUGCGCUCUAAUCUCUGGGCAUCUGGCUAUGAUGUUGAUGGAACUGACCAAACGUCGUUAGGCCAGUUUUCU